rnacentral:rRNA from 1 species
ACUCAAAGGAAUAGACGGGGGCCCGCACAAGCGGUGGAGCAUGUGGUUCAAUUCGACGCAACGCGAAGAACCUUACCCGGGCUAGACAACGGAGGACAGCCCUAGAAAUAGGGUCUUCCCUUCGGGGACCUCCGGUUCAGGUGCUGCAUGGCUGUCGUCAGCUCGUGUCGUGAGAUGUUGGGUUAAGUCCCGCAACGAGCGCAACCCUUGCCUUUAGUUGCCAUCAUUAAGUUGGGCACUCUAAAGGGACUGCCCGUGUCAAACGGGAGGAAGGCGGGGAUGACGUCAAGUCCUCAUGGCCCUUAUGUCCGGGGCUACACACGUGCUACAAUGGACGGUACAAAGGGUUGCAAACCCGCGAGGGGGAGCCAAUCCCAAAAAGCCGUUCUCAGUUCGGAUUGGAGUCUGCAACUCGACUCCAUGAAGGCGGAAUCGCUAGUAAUCGCGGAUCAGCACGCCGCGGUGAAUACGUUCCCGGGCCUUGCACACACCGCCCGU